rnacentral:rRNA from 1 species
CAAUAGCGUAUAUUAAAGUUGUUGCGGUUAAAAGGCUCGUAGUUGGAUUUCUGCCGAGGACGACCGGUCCGCCCUCUGGGUGAGUAUCUGGCUCGGCCUGGGCAUCUUCUUGGAGAACGUAACUGCACUUGACUGUGUGGUGCGGUAUCCAGGACUUUUACUUUGAGGAAAUUAGAGUGUUUCAAGCAGGCAUGCGCCUUGAAUACAUUAGCAUGGAAUAAUACUAUAGGAUUUUGGUUCUAUUUUGUUGGUUUCUAGAGCUGAAAUAAUGAUUAAUAGGGACAAUUGGGGGCAUUCGUAUUGACGAGUCAGAGGUGAAAUUCUUGGAUUUCGUCACGACGAACUACUGCGAAAGCAUUUGCCAAGGAUGUUUUUCAUUGAUCAAGAACGAAAGUAAGGGGAUCGAAGAUGAUUAGAUACCA